GUAAAUCUUCAAAUAAAAGAUGUCAUCUUCAAUGUCCAAACUAGUCUUGGGACUAUCAUGUUCAAUUACCCUCGGAAUCGUAAGCUAUGUACACAUCAAGCAAAAAGCAGACAGGGAUAAAAUGCAUGAGGGAGUAAUAAAGGACAUAGAAAGGCAACAAAGGCGGAAAAUUGAGAACCUGUACAUGUUAGAAAGACAAAAUGAUCUUACUAAACAGCUGAAAAAGGAAAUGGAAAGCUCUUAGGAAAAGAUGUUAAUGAAACAAUAUUUGUUAAAUAGUUUCUAUUUAUUCUAAUAGACCAAAAAAUAUUACAUUAAAACUGCAGAUAUUA